rnacentral:rRNA from 1 species
GGGUUGUGAGGUUAAGCGACUAAGCGUACACGGUGGAUGCCCUGGCAGUCAGAGGCGAUGAAGGACGUGCUAAUCUGCGAUAAGCGUCGGUAAGGUGAUAUGAACCGUUAUAACCGGCGAUUUCCGAAUGGGGAAACCCAGUGUGUUUCGACACACUAUCAUUAACUGAAUCCAUAGGUUAAUGAGGCGAACCGGGGGAACUGAAACAUCUAAGUACCCCGAGGAAAAGAAAUCAACCGAGAUUCCCCCAGUAGCGGCGAGCGAACGGGGAGCAGCCCAGAGCCUGAAUCAGUGUGUGUGUUAGUGGAAGCGUCUGGAAAGGCGCGCGAUACAGGGUGACAGCCCCGUACACAAAAAUGCACAUACUGUGAGCUCGAUGAGUAGGGCGGGACACGUGGUAUCCUGUCUGAAUAUGGGGGGACCAUCCUCCAAGGCUAAAUACUCCUGACUGACCGAUAGUGAACCAGUACCGUGAGGGAAAGGCGAAAAGAACCCCGGCGAGGGGAGUGAAAAAGAACCUGAAACCGUGUACGUACAAGCAGUGGGAGCACGCUUCGGCGUGUGACUGCGUACCUUUUGUAUAAUGGGUCAGCGACUUAUAUUCUGUAGCAAGGUUAACCGAAUAGGGGAGCCGAAGGGAAACCGAGUCUUAACUGGGCGUUAAGUUGCAGGGUAUAGACCCGAAACCCGGUGAUCUAGCCAUGGGCAGGUUGAAGGUUGGGUAACACUAACUGGAGGACCGAACCGACUAAUGUUGAAAAAUUAGCGGAUGACUUGUGGCUGGGGGUGAAAGGCCAAUCAAACCGGGAGAUAGCUGGUUCUCCCCGAAAGCUAUUUAGGUAGCGCCUCGUGAAUUCAUCUCCGGGGGUAGAGCACUGUUUCGGCAAGGGGGUCAUCCCGACUUACCAACCCGAUGCAAACUGCGAAUACCGGAGAAUGUUAUCACGGGAGACACACGGCGGGUGCUAACGUCCGUCGUGAAGAGGGAAACAACCCAGACCGCCAGCUAAGGUCCCAAAGUCAUGGUUAAGUGGGAAACGAUGUGGGAAGGCCCAGACAGCCAGGAUGUUGGCUUAGAAGCAGCCAUCAUUUAAAGAAAGCGUAAUAGCUCACUGGUCGAGUCGGCCUGCGCGGAAGAUGUAACGGGGCUAAACCAUGCACCGAAGCUGCGGCAGCGACACUAUGUGUUGUUGGGUAGGGGAGCGUUCUGUAAGCCUGUGAAGGUGUGCUGUGAGGCAUGCUGGAGGUAUCAGAAGUGCGAAUGCUGACAUAAGUAACGAUAAAGCGGGUGAAAAGCCCGCUCGCCGGAAGACCAAGGGUUCCUGUCCAACGUUAAUCGGGGCAGGGUGAGUCGACCCCUAAGGCGAGGCCGAAAGGCGUAGUCGAUGGGAAACAGGUUAAUAUUCCUGUACUUGGUGUUACUGCGAAGGGGGGACGGAGAAGGCUAUGUUGGCCGGGCGACGGUUGUCCCGGUUUAAGCGUGUAGGCUGGUUUUCCAGGCAAAUCCGGAAAAUCAAGGCUGAGGCGUGAUGACGAGGCACUACGGUGCUGAAGCAACAAAUGCCCUGCUUCCAGGAAAAGCCUCUAAGCAUCAGGUAACAUUAAAUCGUACCCCAAACCGACACAGGUGGUCAGGUAGAGAAUACCAAGGCGCUUGAGAGAACUCGGGUGAAGGAACUAGGCAAAAUGGUGCCGUAACUUCGGGAGAAGGCACGCUGAUAUGUAGGUGAAGUCCCUCGCGGAUGGAGCUGAAAUCAGUCGAAGAUACCAGCUGGCUGCAACUGUUUAUUAAAAACACAGCACUGUGCAAACACGAAAGUGGACGUAUACGGUGUGACGCCUGCCCGGUGCCGGAAGGUUAAUUGAUGGGGUUAGCGGUAACGCGAAGCUCUUGAUCGAAGCCCCGGUAAACGGCGGCCGUAACUAUAACGGUCCUAAGGUAGCGAAAUUCCUUGUCGGGUAAGUUCCGACCUGCACGAAUGGCGUAAUGAUGGCCAGGCUGUCUCCACCCGAGACUCAGUGAAAUUGAACUCGCUGUGAAGAUGCAGUGUACCCGCGGCAAGACGGAAAGACCCCGUGAACCUUUACUAUAGCUUGACACUGAACAUUGAGCCUUGAUGUGUAGGAUAGGUGGGAGGCUUUGAAGUGUGGACGCCAGUCUGCAUGGAGCCGACCUUGAAAUACCACCCUUUAAUGUUUGAUGUUCUAACGUUGACCCGUAAUCCGGGUUGCGGACAGUGUCUGGUGGGUAGUUUGACUGGGGCGGUCUCCUCCUAAAGAGUAACGGAGGAGCACGAAGGUUGGCUAAUCCUGGUCGGACAUCAGGAGGUUAGUGCAAUGGCAUAAGCCAGCUUGACUGCGAGCGUGACGGCGCGAGCAGGUGCGAAAGCAGGUCAUAGUGAUCCGGUGGUUCUGAAUGGAAGGGCCAUCGCUCAACGGAUAAAAGGUACUCCGGGGAUAACAGGCUGAUACCGCCCAAGAGUUCAUAUCGACGGCGGUGUUUGGCACCUCGAUGUCGGCUCAUCACAUCCUGGGGCUGAAGUAGGUCCCAAGGGUAUGGCUGUUCGCCAUUUAAAGUGGUACGCGAGCUGGGUUUAGAACGUCGUGAGACAGUUCGGUCCCUAUCUGCCGUGGGCGCUGGAGAACUGAGGGGGGCUGCUCCUAGUACGAGAGGACCGGAGUGGACGCAUCACUGGUGUUCGGGUUGUCAUGCCAAUGGCACUGCCCGGUAGCUAAAUGCGGAAGAGAUAAGUGCUGAAAGCAUCUAAGCACGAAACUUGCCCCGAGAUGAGUUCUCCCUGACUCCUUGAGAGUCCUGAAGGAACGUUGAAGACGACGACGUUGAUAGGCCAGGUGUGUAAGCGCAGCGAUGCGUUGAGCUAACCGGUACUAAUGAACCGUGAGGCUUAACCUUACAACGCCGAAGGUGUUU